rnacentral:rRNA from 1 species
ACGCUCGACACCUACGGGCAGCAGUCGGGAAUAUUGCGCAAUGGAGGAAACUCUGACGCAGUGACGCCGCGUGCAGGAAGAAGGUUUUCGGAUUGUAAACUGCUUUAGACAGGGAAGAAGAAGUGACAGUACCUGUAGAAUAAGCUCCGGCUAACUACGUACCAGCAGCCGCGGUAAUCUGAGCGGGCUGGCAAGGC